UAGCUUUUAUUGUGAUGAUUUUUUAGUAGGAAUCUCAUUGAGCUACUUAAGCAUUGAAAACAAUUUUUAUUACUGAUUAGAAAAUU